GUGAGUUUUACAUUAACAAAAUCUUUAAUGCUGUGUGCACAGUCAGUUCCAUGCACAGACAUGAUUUGUCAGUCUGUUGGGUGUGGGUGGGUGAUGGUCACUGUAAGGUGUGUGUGGGUGAUGGUCACUGUAAGGUGUGUGUGGGUGAUGGUCACUGUAAGGUGUGUGUGGGUGAUGGUCACUGUAAGCUGUGUGUGGGUGAUGGUCACUGUAAGGUGUGUGUGGGUGAUGGUCACUGUUAGGUGUGUGUGGGUGAUGGUCACUGUUAGGUGUGUGUGGGUGAUGGUCACUGUAAGGUGUGUGUGGGUGAUGGUCACUGUAAGGUGUGCGUGGGUGAUGGUCACUGUAAGGUGUGUGUGGGUGAUGGUCACUGUAAGGUGUGUGUGGGUGAUGGUCACUGUAAGGUGUGGCUGGGUGAUGGUCACUGUUUUCUGUUACUGUAAAAGGUGUUUUGUGUUCUUUUUUAUAUCAUGCACACAGGCUGAUUACUCAGUUGAUUCAAAUUGUUCUUCUUGCUUGUUCCAUUACCAGUCAUAACCAUGAUACGCC
ensembl:lncRNA